UACGUAGGGGGCUAGCGUUGUCCGGAAUCAUUGGGCGUAAAGCGCGCGUAGGCGGCCAGAUAAGUCCGGUGUGAAAGUCACAGGCUCAACCUGUGAAUGCCGCUGGAAACUGUCUGGCUUGAGUCCGGAAGGGGCGAGUGGAAUUCCUGGUGUAGCGGUGAAAUGCGCAGAUAAUCAGGAGGAACACCAAUGGCGAAGGCAGCUCGCUGGAACGGUACUGACGCUGAGGCG
rnacentral:rRNA from 1 species